rnacentral:rRNA from 1 species
UUGGAGGGCAAGUCUGGUGCCAGCAGCCGCGGUAAUUCCAGCUCCAAUAGCGUAUAUUAAAGUUGUUGCAGUUAAAAAGCUCGUAGUUGAAUUUCGGGGUCAGCAGGUUGGUCGUGCCACUGGUAUGUACUGGCUUCGCUGAUUCCUCCUUUCUGAAGAACUGUAAUGCCAUUAAUUUGGUGUUGCAGGGAAACAGGACUGUUACUUUGAAAAAAUUAGAGUGUUUAAAGCAAGCAUUAGCUUGAAUACAUUAGCAUGGAAUAAUGAAAUAGGACGUUUGAUCCUACUUUGUUGGUUUCUAGGAUUGACGUAAUGAUUAAUAGGGAUAGUUGGGGGCAUUAGUAUUCAAUUGUCAGAGGUGAAAUUCUUGGAUUUAUUGAAGACUAACUACUGCGAAAGCAUUUGCCAAGGAUGUUUUCAUUAAUCAAGAACGAAAGUUAGGGGAUCGAAGACAAUCAGAUACCGUCGUAGUCUUAACCAUAAACUAUGCCGACUAGGGAUCGGAUGAUGUUAAUUUUUUAAUGACUCAUUCGGCGCCUUACGGGAAA